rnacentral:rRNA from 1 species
AUUGAACGCUGGCGGCAUGCCUUACACAUGCAAGUCGAACGGUAACAGGUCUUCGGAUGCUGACGAGUGGCGAACGGGUGAGUAAUACAUCGGAACGUGCCUAGUAGUGGGGGAUAACUACUCGAAAGAGUGGCUAAUACCGCAUGAGAUCUACGGAUGAAAGCAGGGGAUCGCAAGACCUUGUGCUACUAGAGCGGCCGAUGGCAGAUUAGGUAGUUGGUGGGGUAAAAGCUUACCAAGCCGACGAUCUGUAGCUGGUCUGAGAGGACGAUCAGCCACACUGGGACUGGGACACGGCCCAGACUCCUACGGGAGGCAGCAGUGGGGAAUUUUGGACAAUGGGCGCAAGCCUGAUCCAGCAAUGCCGCGUGCAGGAUGAAGGCCUUCGGGUUGUAAACUGCUUUUGUACGGAACGAAAAGCCCUGGGUUAAUACCCUGGGGUCAUGACGGUACCGUAAGAAUAAGCACCGGCUAACUACGUGCCAGCAGCCGCCGUAACAC